GUGAGGAAUAUUGGACAAUGGGCGCAAGCCUGAUCCAGCCAUGCCGCGUGCAGGAAGACGCAUCUAUGGUGUGUAAACUGCUUUUGUACGGGAAGAAACACUCCCUCGUGAGGGAGCUUGACGGUACCGUAAGAAUAAGGAUCGGCUAACUCCGUGCCAGCAGCCGCGGUAAAUACGGAGGAUCCAAGCGUUAUCCGGAAUCAUUGGGUUUAAAGGGUCCGUAGGCGGUUUAAUAAGUCAGUGGUGAAAGCCCAUCGCUCAACGAUGGAACGGACAUUGAUACUGUUAGACUUGAAUUACAAGGAAGUAACUAGAAUAUGUAGUGUAGCGGUGAAAUGCUUAGAUAUUACAUGGAAUACCAAUUGCGAAGGCAGGUUACUACUUGUGGAUUGACGCUGAUGGACGAAAGCGUGGGGAGCGAACAGGAUUAGAAACCCUAGUAGUCC
rnacentral:rRNA from 1 species